AGAGCGAACGCUGGCGGCAUGCUUAACACAUGCAAGUCGCACGGGCAGGGGUAACUCUGUCAGUGGCGGACGGGUGAGUAACGCGUAGGUAUCUAUCCUCGGGUGGGGGACAACCACGGGAAACUGUGGCUAAUACCGCAUGAUGACUGAGGUCCAAAGGCGCAAGUCGCCUGGGGAGGAGCCUGCGUCCGAUUAGCUUGUUGGUGGGGUAAAGGCCUACCAAGGCUCCGAUCGGUAGCUGGUCUGAGAGGAUGAUCAGCCACACUGGGACUGAGGCACGGCCCAGACUCCUACGGGAGGCAGCAGUGGGGAAUAUUGGACAAUGGGCGAAAGCCUGAUCCAGCAAUGCCGCGUGGGUGAAGAAGGUCUUCGGAUUGUAAAGCCCUUUCGACGGGGACGAUGAUGACGGUACCCGUAGAAGAAGCCCCGGCUAACUUCGUGCCAGCAGCCGC
rnacentral:rRNA from 1 species